rnacentral:rRNA from 1 species
CCUACGGGAGGCAGCAGUGAGGAAUAUUGGUCAAUGGGCGGGAGCCUGAACCAGCCAAGUCGCGUGAAGGAAGAAGGUACUUAGUAUUGUAAACUUCUUUUGUCGGGGAACAAAGGCGGAGACGCGUCUCCGGAUGAGUGUACCCGAAGAAAAAGCAUCGGCUAACUCCGUGCCAGCAGCCGCGGUAAUACGGAGGAUGCGAGCGUUAUCCGGAUUUAUUGGGUUUAAAGGGUGCGUAGGCGGCGCUUCAGGUCAGCGGUGAAAUACCGGGGCUCAACCCCGGGGCUGCCGUUGAAACCGGAGCG